CUUUCUCUUUUUCCUAGUGACAAAUACAACAUGUAACUCCACUGCAGAUGCCACUUGCUCCUGCUUGGAAGGGUAUUUGUGUGCCAACGAGCAGUGCUCAAAAUGCAAGAAGAUGCCUGUGUGUGGCAGAGGGGAGGAGCUGCAGAAGCAAGGAUCGUUUGACUAUCAUUACACAUGUGUUCAAUGCCCCAACAAUACCUACUCGGACACCGUAGGAGGAAUCUGCAAGCAGCUAGCACAGUGUAAUCAGCUUGGACUGCAAGUAAUUUCACCUGGCAACAGCACCCACAAUACCAAAUGCGGGUGUUCAAGACAUGAAACGAACCGCUAUGAGAUUCCAGCAGUUCACCUCACCGUGAUCAUCUUGCUCCUCUUCAUUCUGCAUUUGUGCAGCUGCCUGAUGGGACAAUACUGCAGACAUAACAAGCAGAUUGGAUCCAUGAUGCCAGCUGCGGGUCGGGCAGACAGAAGGUGCCGCUGCCCACUGUCGGAGGAAGAGAAAGGUGACUUCCCUGGUCAGCUGAUCGACAACAAGAGCAACUCUAACUACGAGCCUUCCUCCUUUGAACAGAGCCAAAAAUCGAUGUUGUGACCCCUAACUCUUUCCCCAAGGAAAUAAUAAAAAAAAAUCAUCAGACA
rnacentral:lncRNA from 1 species